AUUGAACGCUAGCGGGAUGCUUUACACAUGCAAGUCGAACGGCAGCGCGGACUUCGGUCUGGAGGCGAGUGGCGAACGGGUGAGUAAUGUAUCGGAACGUGCCCAGUAGCGGGGGAUAACUACGCGAAAGCGUAGCUAAUACCGCAUACGCCCUACGGGGGAAAGCAGGGGAUCGUAAGACCUUGCACUAUUGGAGCGGCUGAUAUCGGAUUAGCUAGUUGGUGAGGUAACGGCUCACCAAGGCGACGAUCCGUAGCUGGUGUGAGAGGACGACCAGCCACACUGGGACUGAGACACGGCCCAGACUCCGACGGGAGGCAGCGGUGGGGAAUGUUGGACGAUGGGGGCAACCCUGAACCAGCCAUGCCGCGUGGGCGAUGAAGGCCUUCGGGUUGUAAAGCACUUUUGGCAGGAAAGAAACGUCGCAGGCUAAUACCCCGUGGAACUGACGGUACCUGCAGAAUAAGCACCGGCUAACUACGUG
rnacentral:rRNA from 1 species